GUGAAUACGUUCCCGGGUCUUGUACACACCGCCCGUCACACCAUGGGAGCGGGUUUUACCAGAAGUAGGUAGCCUAACCGUAAGGAGGGCGCUUACCACGGUAGGAUUCGUGACUGGGGUGAAGUCGUAACAAGGUAGCCGUAUCGGAAGGUGCGGCUGGAUCACCUCCUUUCU
rnacentral:rRNA from 1 species